CAGGAACACUAUGCGGUGGCUGCACUUCCCCGUGGUGCUCUGAGCCCCAUCCGUGGGCAGAUGGGGCAGAAGGGGCAUCACUGUGCAGGCACAGUGCCUACAGCCUCCAUGCCUGGAAUGUGUAGGAUUUGCUCCUGGUUUUCACUGGUAACGUCACGCCCAAUUUAGAAGAUACAAGCAUCAAGUGACUUGGCAUGGGGAUGUACUCAAACAAAGGAAAAGAAACCGCUUACAAUUUAUGACACGCUUUGAUAGCUGCGAUUUAAAAAGGCCAUUGAUUCAUUCCAGCAAAUGUUACAACAACAAGCACAAGACUAACGACCUGAUGCCUUGUCAGAGAUGUUCACAGGUCAGAUAAAACGACCACAUUCUAACGGCAGGAUCCAGCCUUUCAAAGACUGCCCUGUUUGAGCUUCUCCCAGGCUUUGAUCCCCGCAAGCCGUACGUCAGCGCCGUCCUCCCAAAAGCUGGCCUCACGCUGAGGGGUUUCUGCUGACACACUUUCUGAGAUCCUUUUGGGCUGCCCUACCUUCCAUCCUCCUCCAUCCCGCACACCCGAGUGGUUUCCUGCUUCACAAAGAAGCAGCGAGAGAAGGGAAGAAAACCUUCAGCCCACGCCAGGGCUUGCCAAACAGCUGGUGAAGAAUAGCCCUAGAAAAACUGAUAUUUAAACAACUGUGGGGAAGAUUCGUCAAUUGAAGAGGAGCGGGGUGAGAUCAUCUGUUGCCUUCUGUUGUCUUUUGGCUGAAAGCGGCCAACGGACAGCUGGAUUGCCCCGGAUCCUGCACUUAAACACAUCUGCGGAAAUAUUUGUGUUUCAUCA